GACGAACGCUGGCGGCGUGCUUAACACAUGCAAGUCGAGCGAUGAAAGCCUUAUGAACUAUUCGUAGUGAUUGGGGCAGGAUUAGCGGCGGACGGGUGAGUAACGCGUGAGCAACCUGCCUUAAACAACGGGAUAGCCUCGGGAAACCGGGAUUAAUACCGUAUGAGACCCCGCCUUCACAUGAAGAAGAGGUUAAAGAUUUAUCGGUUUAAGAUGGGCUCGCGUCUGAUUAGCUAGUUGGUGAGAUAAAAGCCCACCAAGGCAACGAUCAGUAGCCGGCUUGUGAGGGUGACCGGUCACAUUGGUACUGCGACACGGUCCAAACUCCUACGGGGGUGAGGAGUGGGGAAUAUGGCACAAUGGGGGAAAGCCUGAUGCAGCGACGCCGCGUAAGCGAUGAAGGAAUUCAUUUCGGAAAGCUCUGUACAAGGGGAAGAUAAUGACAGUACCCUUGGAGGAAGCCCCGGCUAAAUACGUGCCAGCAGCCGCCGUAA
rnacentral:rRNA from 1 species